rnacentral:rRNA from 1 species
AUGCAAGUCGAACGAUGAAGUUCCUUCGGGAAUGGAUUAGUGGCGAACGGGUGAGGAACACGUGAGAAACCCGCCUUUCAGUUCUGGGAUAACACCGGGAAACCGGUGCUAAUACCCGGAUACUCCAUCUUGGCGGCAUCGCCGAGCUGGGAAAAAAUUUUGAUGAAAGAUGGUCUCGCGGCCUAUCAGCUAGUUGGUGAGGUAAAGGCUCACCAAGGCGACGACGGGUAGCCGGCCUGAGAGGGCGACCGGCCACACUGGGACUGAGACACGGCCCAGACUCC